CCUACGGGAGGCAGCAGUGGGGAAUUUUCCGCAAUGGGCGAAAGCCUGACGGAGCAAUACCGCGUGAGGGAAGACGGCCUAUGGGUUGUAAACCUCUUUUUUCAGGGAGGAACAAAAUGACGUGUACCUGAAGAAUAAGCAUCGGCUAACUCCGUGCCAGCAGCCGCGGUAAGACGGAGGAUGCAAGUGUUAUCCGGAAUCACUGGGCGUAAAGCGUCUGUAGGUGGUUUGUUAAGUCAACUGUUAAAUCUUGAGGCUCAACUUCAAAUCAGCAGUCGAAACUAUCAGACUAGAGUAUAGUAGGGGUAAAGGGAAUUUCCAGUGGAGCGGUGAAAUGCGUAGAUAUUGGAAAGAACACCGAUGGCGAAGGCACUUUACUGGGCUAUUACUAACACUCAGAGACGAAAGCUAGGGUAGCAAAUGGGAUUAGAUACCCU
rnacentral:rRNA from 1 species